GGUCCAAUAGCUUAUCACGGUAAAGCGCGUUUGUAAAAUAACGAGUGGCUCGGUUCGAACCCGGCUUGGACAUCCUA
rnacentral:tRNA from 1 species